CCUACGGGAGGCAGCAGUGGGGGAUAUUGCACAAUGGGGGGAACCCUGAUGCAGCGACGCCGCGUGGGUGAAGAAGCGCCUCGGCGCGUAAAGCCCUGUCAGCAGGGAAGAAAAUGACGGUACCUGAAGCAGAAGCCCCGGCUAACUACGUGCCAGCAGCCGCGGUAAUACGUAGGGGGCAAGCGUUAUCCGGAUUUACUGGGUGUAAAGGGGGCGCAGACGGCGAUGCAAGCCAGGAGUGAAAGCCCGGGGCCCAACCCCGGGAAUGCUCUUGGAACUGCGUGGCUGGAGUGCAGGAGGGGCAGGCGGAAUUCCUGGUGUAGCGGUGAAAUGCGUAGAUAUCAGGAGGAACACCGGUGGCGAAGGCAGCCUGCUGGACUGCAACUGACGUUGAGGCCCGAAAGCGUGGGGAGCAAACAGGAUUAGAUACCCCAGUAGUC
rnacentral:rRNA from 1 species